CCUANGGGGGGCAGCAGGCGCGAAAAUUCUCCAAUGCUCGCAAGAGUGAGAGAGGAAUCUUGAGUGCUUUUCUUAAACGAAAAGCUUUUGCGUACUGUAAAAAGGUACGAGAAUAAGGGCUGGGCAAGAUCGGUGCCAGCAGCCGCGGUAAUCCCGACGGCCCGAGUGGGACUCGCAAUUAUUGGGUCUAAAAUAUUCGUAGCCGGUUUUAUAAGUUUCUUGUUAAAUUACAAGGCUCAACCUUGUAGCUGCAAGAAAUACUAUCAAGCUAGGGACUGGGAGAUGUAACAAGUAUAUCCGGGGUAAUGGUAAAAUAUGUUAAUCCUGGGUAGACUAACAAUGGCGAAGGCAUGUUACAAUAACAGAUCCGACGGUGAGGAAUGAAGGCCAGGGGCGCAAAUUGGAUUAGAUACCCGGNUANUC
rnacentral:rRNA from 1 species